GACGAACGCUGGCGGCGUGCUUAACACAUGCAAGUCGUACGGUAAGGCCCUUUCGGGGGUACACGAGUGGCGAACGGGUGAGUAACACGUGAGUAACCUGCCCACAACUUUGGGAUAACGCUAGGAAACUGGUGCUGAUACUGGAUAUGUGCUCCUGCUGCAUGGUGGGGGUUGGAAAGCUCCGGCGGUUGUGGAUGGACUCGCGGCCUAUCAGCUUGUUGGUGGGGUAGUGGCCUACCAAGGCGGCGACGGGUAGCCGGCCUGAGAGGGUGACCGGCCACAUUGGGACUGAGAUACGGCCCAGACUCCUACGGGAGGCAGCAGUGGGGAAUAGUGCACAAUGGGCGCAAGCCUGAUGCAGCAACGCCGCGUGCGGGAUGACGGCCUUCGGGUUGUAAACCGCUUUCAGCAGGGACGAAGCUUUUUGUGACGGUACCUGCAGAAGAAGCACCGGCUAACUACGUG
rnacentral:rRNA from 1 species